rfam:Candidatus Thrbacteria bacterium RIFCSPLOWO2_02_FTLL_53_10 rifcsplowo2_02_scaffold_3649, whole genome shotgun sequence.
GGAGAGGUACCCAAGCUGGUUGAAGGGGACGGAUUGCUAAUCCGUUAGGUCGGUGUAAGCCGGCGCGGGGGUUCGAAUCCCCCCCUCUCCG